GUACACUCCUGCGGGAGGCAGCAGUGGGGAAUUUUGGACAAUGGGCGAAAGCCUGAUCCAGCCAUGCCGCGUGCAGGAUGAAGGCCUUCGGGUUGUAAACUGCUUUUGUACGGAACGAAACGGCCUUUUCUAAUAAAGAGGGCUAAUGACGGUACCGUAAGAAUAAGCACCGGCUAACUACGUGCCAGCAGCCGCGGUAAUACGUAGGGUGCAAGCGUUAAUCGGAAUUACUGGGCGUAAAGCGUGCGCAGGCGGUUAUGUAAGACAGUUGUGAAAUCCCCGGGCUCAACCUGGGAACUGCAUCUGUGACUGCAUAGCUAGAGUACGGUAGAGGGGGAUGGAAUUCCGCGUGUAGCAGUGAAAUGCGUAGAUAUGCGGAGGAACACCGAUGGCGAAGGCAAUCCCCUGGACCUGUACUGACGCUCAUGCACGAAAGCGUGGGGAGCAAACAGGAUUAGAUACCCGAGUAGUCCCAUG
rnacentral:rRNA from 1 species